rnacentral:rRNA from 1 species
UACGGGGGGAGCAAGCGUUGUUCGGAUUUACUGGGCGUAAAGGGCGCGUAGGCGGCCACCGCAAGUCGACUGUGAAAUCUCCGGGCUUAACCCGGAAAGGUCAGCCGAUACUGCGGGGCUAGAGUGCAGAAGGGGCAACUGGAAUUCUCGGUGUAGCGGUGAAAUGCGUAGAUAUCGAGAGGAACACCUGCGGCGAAAGCGGCUUACUGGGUCUUUUCUGACGCUGAUGCACGAAAGCUAGGGGAGCAAACGGG